UCCUCCAUGGCGCAAUUGGCUAGCGCGUCUGACUGUUAUCCUUUCUCAGGAGCGGCAAUCAGGAGGUUCGUGGUUCGAGCCCACGUGGGGGAG